AAGUGCUUGCUGAUUGGUCUUUUGGGACACCUCCACAAAAGGUGCAAAACCUGUGGGCCAGCCUCCAUCCAACUGAGGUGGCAGGUUUUCGGGUACACACUCGGCCCCACAAUGCUGCUGCAGGCGUGCUGGGCUGUGCUCUCUCUGCUGCUGCUCUGCCAAAGCUUCUGGCUGGAGGCUGCCAGGGGUUUGGAGGAAGCAGUGAAGUGUGAAAGCAUUAAUGAAGCAACCAUCGGUCAAGAGGCAAAUUUCUCUUGCGACUUCUUGCUUCGUAUGAAUGUCUUUCAAGUAACUUGGCAGAAGAUAAACGGAUCUUCUUUCUGGAACAUAGCAACUUACAGCCAAAUCCAUGGGCUGCGACUGCAAGAAUCAUUUCAGAGGAAGGCAUGUUUCACUGUAGCAGCCCUGAACACUUCAGCCAUUGCUCUGCGAAAUCUCACAUCUGAGGAUGCAUCCUGUUACAGAUGCAUCUUCAAUGUGUUCCCUUAUGGCUCUUUCAGCAGCCCAGAUCUAUGCCUCAAAAUCCAGAAUAGUGGAAACACAAACAACAAAAUAGAAGACAAAAUGCUGGGUAUGGGUUCCACCAAUACAAGAGAAAGUGGAAACACAAACAACAAAAUAGAAGACAAAAUGCAGGUUAUAGGUUCCCCCAGUACAAGAGGUAUUUCUGGUAUUCAGAAGAGAAUAGACCUUGUGGUGUUCUUCCUAGGUGCUGUCUUAGGAACCUUGAUACUUCUCAUCGUGGGGCUAAUCAAAACAAGGAGGAGAAAACUGCAGAAACGCAGAGCGCAUCGCACACCUGAAAAGGAGGAAGGCUUACAGGAGGAUGUAAGUGAGCAAUCUGUAAGCCUGGAAACACCGAAGGUUCAAGGCAGUGCUUAUCAAAAUGAGGAGGAUCUGCUUCACAGACAUCAGCCUGUAGUUGCUGAGCCUUCAUUUUUACGUUUCUUGAAUAUGGGAGUGAUGUUUCUCUUUUUCCAGUCACCGAGAACUUCACCUGACAGCUGCAACUUAUCAAAUAUGAUGGAGAGUAGCUUGGCAACAACAUCGGUCAUCUCCCUUAGGUCCCUGGGAUGCAUGUCAUGUGGCAUCAAAAACAUGUACACAUUCAGUCUCAUGAGGUGGUCUUGGACUUGCUCUGCUGGGGUCCAGUUCUGCAGGGCUGUUUAUGGAGCAGUCACGCUAUUUGGGUAUGAAACCAGGAUGUUCCCUCACUGUCAAAUCUCCACUGCUCCAGUCAGCUGCCGGGUAGAUGGCAACAUACAUGCCUCAGCUAUGCUCUAGCAAUGCUGGUGAGUGCCUGGAGCUUGAAGGAGGAAAGCUGGCCAGCAGUUAAAUGGAAAAGCAGAUGAGGUCCUGGAAAUACCUUUCCAUGUGGGUGGGAUGUCCCUUCUGUGCAAAGGUGAUGCAACACUGCAGAGCUCAGGCUCUCUGACUGGCAGUCUUACACAGAUAUUUUCCCAGACAUGUUUGUCCUGCCCUGCUGGUCCACAUAGCUAUCAAGGUCUACUGGAGGGCUGGUGGCAUCUACAGACACAACUGAUAAGUGACUGUGGAUGCUCUUUGGUCCCAUUAGUACUUCUCUUUGACCUCCGAUGGGUUUCCUCUUUCAAGCUCUUGCUAGUCCCGUUGUCACAGUCUGAUUAUGAUAUAGCUCUUGUUUUAGCAAUAAUUUAGGGUUAGCUUCACUUAAUCCUAGGCCAUUUUAACAACAAUUCAAUGGUGCUUACUACAGCCAAAUACAAUGACUUAGUUAAGUGUUUGAGAAUGAUAAGGUUCGUCUGAAAUUUUCAUGCAGAGUAUUCUGAUGGGUGUUUGAAUUUCUUAGCAUCCCUUUCAUCAUCUCUCAUUGAAUAAUGAGAUCUGUCCCAAAAGGGACUCUAUUUCUUCAGUGUUGUAUCUCAAUAAUAGUCUGUCCCAAGUCCGGGGGAGAUGAAAGAUCACAGCAAGCUGAGGUUCCUCAAGAACUCAAGGGGUUGCUUAGGAAUCCCUUAACAGCAGGACCUUGAGAUAACUACCUUUAGUCAGAAAACUUUCCUUUCUGGCCACAGUGCAGAUGAGGCAAUUCUGGAAUCUUCUCCCAGUCGUGCAGUUCCAGUGCUCCCAGACUGUACAGUUUGGUACCUCUCAGAUCAGGCCACAGUUGAAGGAGCAGCUGUUCCAGAGGCAGACACCAGGAUCUGCACUUCUCAAAUGGCUACUGUAUCUGAGGAGAAACUGGGAAGAGUACAAAGAAAGAGAAACCUGGAAGAGAAACAAGAG